rnacentral:rRNA from 1 species
AGGGUUUGAUCAUGGCUCAGAACGAACGUUGGCGGCACGCUUAACACAUGCAAGUCGAACGAGAAACCCGAGCUUGCUCGGGUGGACAGUGGCAGACGGCUUAGUAACGCGUGGGUAUCUACCUAGAGGUUUGGAACAACUAUUGGAAACGAUAGCUAAUACCAAAUAUUCCCUAAGGGGGAAAGAUUUAUCGCCUUUAGAUGAGCCCGCGUCGGAUUAGCUUGUUGGUAGGGUAAAGGCCUACCAAGGCAACGAUCCGUAGCUGGUCUGAGAGGAUGAUCAGCAAGAUUGGGACUGAGACACGGCCCAGACUCCUACGGGAGGCAGCAGUGGGGAAUAUUGCGCAAUGGGGGAAACCCUGACGCAGCGAUGCCGCGUGAGUGAAGAAGGCCUUAGGGUUGUAAAACUCUUUCACCGGUGAAGAUAAUGACGGUAGCCGGAGAAGAAGCCCCGGCUAACUCCGUGCCAGCAGCCGCGGUAAUAC